GGGAAAAAGAAAAUUGCAUGGCCUGAGAGCCAGACACGCAAGCUGAUAUAUCACGUUUGUGUGUUUUCAGGAAUGGCUGCUGCAUUUCAUUUUUCAUCAUUUCCCUGCCCGCUCCGUGGCCCCCCGACUCUCAGGGCCGCCCACAAACUGAGGACUUCAUACCAGACAAGUGCAUCAGCUCGCGUCGGAAAGAAUGAACACAUCGCUCUCUAAUGUGUUUCAAAUGAGCGCAGGUAUUUUGGAGAGAGUUGGCUUCGUGAAGUACAAGCACCGCGUGGUCCUGAGGAAUUGUUUGGGCGUGCGGUGUCAUUAUCAUGAGACUAGAUGCAACCCAAUCCGCACGGUGAUGUUUGAAGUGAGCUGACCUGUGUGGACUCUGGAUGGGACCCGCUGAGAUGACAGAGGAGAGAGACAUCAGGGCCACUUGCUCCCCCUCACAACAUCUCCUUUAAUUAUUUUUAUAAUGCAAGUGAAGAAGUGAAUGGAAACUAUGUGCAGCCUCCUGUGGUGGUGGAGAGGGUUGUUUCUUUCCCCUUCUUUUUCCCCUUCUUUUUCUGUGGUACUACUGGAGGGGUUUGAUCUAUAAACACAUCCGAGCUUUCUAUUUCUCUCCCUCUCUUUUUUUUGGGGGGGAGGGUGGUAUGACUGUGAGGUCUAGGCAUUGAGACAUUAUAAAUACAUUUCUGUGUCCAUAUACCUGUCCACAUAUUUCAGACAUUCAGU